rnacentral:rRNA from 1 species
UACGGAGGGUGCAAGCGUUACUCGGAAUCACUGGGCGUAAAGCGCGCGCAGGCGGCCUUUUAAGUUGGAUGUGAAAGCCUACGGCUUAACCGUAGAACUGCAUCCAAAACUACUAGGCUAGAGUGUGGGAGAGGAAGAUGGAAUUAGUUGUGUAGGGGUAAAAUCCGUAGAGAUAACUAGGAAUACCAAAAGCGAAGGCAAUCUUCUGGAACACUACUGACGCUGAGGCGCGAAAGCGUGGGGAGCAAACAGGAUUAGAUACCCUGGUAGUCCACGCCCUAAACGAUGAAUGUUAGUCGUCGGGUAGCUAGUCUAUUCGGUGAUGCAGCUAACGCAUUAAACAUUCCGCCUGGGGAGUACGGUCGCAAGAUUAAAACUCAAAGGAAUAGACGGGGACCCGCACAAGUGGUGGAGCAUGUGGUUUAAUUCGAAGAUACGCGAAGAACCUUACCUAGCCUUGACAUAUAUUAGAACACUUUAGAGAUAGAGUGGUGCCUUCGGGAGCUUUUAUACAGGUGCUGCACGGCUGUCGUCAGCUCGUGUCGUGAGAUGUUGGGUUAAGUCCCGCAACGAGCGCAACCCUCGUCACUAGUUACUAACGGUUCGGCCGAGGACUCUAGUGAGACUGCCUUCGCAAGGAGGAGGAAGGUGAGGACGGCGUCAAGUCAUCAUGGCCCUUACGGCUAGGGCAACACACGUGCUACAAUGGCCAGGACAAUGAGACGCAAUACCGCGAGGUGGAGCAAAUCUAUAAACCUGGUCUCAGUUCGGAUUGUAGUCUGCAACUCGACUACAUGAAGCUGGAAUCACUAGUAAUCGUAGAUCAGCUAUGCUACGGUGAAUACGUUCCCGGGUCU